AGUGAACGCUGGCGGCAGGCCUAACACAUGCAAGUCGAACGGCAGCACAAGAGAGCUUGCUCUCUGGGUGGCGAGUGGCGGACGGGUGAGGAAUGCAUCGGAAUCUGCCCAUUUGUGGGGGAUAACCUCGGGAAACCGGGACUAAUACCGCAUACGACCUACGGGUGAAAGCAGGGGAUCUUCGGACCUUGCGCAGAUGGAUGAGCCGAUGCCGGUUUAGCUAGUUGGAGGGGUAAAGGCCCACCAAGGCGACGAUCCGUAGCUGGUCUGAGCGGAUGAUCAGCCACACUGGGAGUGAGACACGGCCCAGACUCCUACGGGAGGCAGCAGUGGGGAAUAUUGGACAAUGGGCGCAAGCCUGAUCCAGCCAUGCCGCGUGUGUGAAGAAGGCCUUCGGGUUGUAAAGCACUUUUGUUGGGAAAGAAAAGCAGCCGGUUAAUACCCGGUUGUCAUGACGGUACCCAAAGAAUAAGCACCGGCUAACUUCGUG
rnacentral:rRNA from 1 species